CAUUAAUACACAUUUUUGGUAUGAGACAAAGCUUGGGUAAAGAUUCCUUUGGUUUUACCUUUUUCUCUUGGUCAACACUGAAGGAAUUUUAAGUCCUAGAAAGUUAGCACUUGGCCACAUCUCCGCCUCACUAGUGGAACUUUGCAGAGCGCGAUUUGUGUAUAAUUUGGCUCGAGGAUAUCAGAAUGACUCAUGGUGUUAAGAAUGAGAUAUUUGUUAGCAAAUAAUUUGUUUCCUGUUGUUACACUGACUGUGUAGAGAUUAUUGCAACAUCCUUGGCUGCAGACACAAUUAUAACACCAUCAAAUCUGUUCAGAUCUACCUGCAGAUUUAUUUGACUGGUUUAUGCUCUCAAACAGCACCUGUGAAACCGUGUAUCUCCCUCAUCUCUCCCUCCUGCAUGCAUCGCUUCAUUCGUCUCCAAACUGGUUGGCCUUUGUUUAUGUGUGACUGACCCCACACACCUGACGCAUUUCCUCCCUGGAUAGGAUAUUUAUUUACAUUGCAGUCUGGAGUGCCUGAUACCUUCCAAAAGAACAACCAUCUGCUCCUCAUUUGCCGCUCAGGGCUCAAGGGCUAAAACACUGGUUUGUAUUGGAGGAGACGUGAACGUGAGAUUCUCAACAACAACACUCCUGGUUUUAUCUCCAGCCAACUGUAGAUUGAAUUAUCAUGAAAUACCUCUGCUGUGAUAAUUCCAUUUAACUGGGGUUAGUGCUGUCUUAGCACCAUUUAAACCAAUUGUAAACUUUCUUAAUUCCCCCUAAAAGAUUGAAAGACCCCUCUAACUGCGCUGAUCUGCCCAAUUGAGGCUAUUAUCAAUCGGCCACUUAAGAUGGCAGACUCUCUUGCGGCAGAAGGUAAAUGUAAGCCUUUGCUCAGGCCAAAGCAUCCUUUAGUGCUCCUGGAGCUAGAGCCAGUGAGAUUAUCAUGUCAGGAGUAAUCCGACUCGGCCCACAAGCACAACUAUGGAGGAGGAGGAGCAACAGUUGAGGGGGGGAGGCAGGCAGAGGCAUCAGAGAAGCUCUCUGCUCCGCUUACGGUAACCACGCUCUCCCUUCUCACCCUAACCCAUCUUCUCAACCCACAGAGUUCCCUUCCUUGGAACUGAAGAGAAGACCUGCUUCUGGAAAGAGGGUUUGGGUUUGUGCAAAAACGGGAGACCAGACAUUUUGUGUGGAGAAGCAUGAUGACAGAAGUUUUCUGAAGUGAACCAGAUGCCAUGUCAGGAACUUAUCUAAACACACAGCGGUCCUCUUUUUGAAUGGAUCAGCAAUGAAGAGCAUGCUUACAUUCAGAGGAAUGUUGAUAUUGAUCUUUGCACCUUUUCAGAGUUCUAUGGAAGUGCAACAAUGAUGAAUAAAUAGAACAGCCUGGACUUGAAUCAAGUCAGGACACCUUCCUUACUUGCAAACACAAGGAGUUGUGAUGAUUUUCAGAGGAACAAGCAGGAGUCCUGCCUUCACUCCUUGCCUGUGAUGAUGAUGGACUUAUCCAGCCAGCACUUGCCUGUGGAGGUCAGCUGAAGACGACGCCACACAGCUAAGUCUGGAUUAGCCGGCCGAACGGUAAGGACACCACAUCUUCUUUUGUUAGUUUAAGCUGGCAGCUUAUGGGGAAGGCGUUAGGUGCCGCUGACAGAGAUGCCUCACCAAGUGCUUGAGUGGCAGAAAACACACGUUGGAUUAUCGGUAUCAACAAGCGGCCCUUGCUGCAUCCCCAUGUCAAUAGUGCAC
rnacentral:lncRNA from 15 species